UAAGGAAUAUUGGUCAAUGGACGCAAGUCUGAACCAGCCAUGCCGCGUGGAGGAUGAAGGGUCCUCUGGAUUGUAAAACUUCUUUUAUUUGGGACGAAAAAAGGCCUUUCUAGGUCGUCUGACGGUACCAGAUGAAUAAGCACCGGCUAACUCCGUGCCAGCAGCCGCGGUAAUACGGAGGGUGCAAGCGUUAUCCGGAUUUACUGGGUUUAAAGGGUGCGCAGGCGGAUAUGUAAGUCAGUGGUGAAAUCUUUAGGCUUAACCUGAAAAUUGCCGUUGAUACUAUAUAUCUUGAAUGCUGUGGAGGUAAGCGGAAUAUGUCAUGUAGCGGUGAAAUGCUUAGAUAUGACAUAGAACACCUAUUGCGAAGGCAGCUUACUACGCAGAUAUUGACGCUCAUGCACGAAAGCGUGGGGAUCAAACAGGAUUAGAUACCCUGGUAGUCCACGCCCUAAACGAUGAUUACUCGACAUACGCGAUACACUGUGUGUGUCUGAGCGAAAGCAUUAAGUAAUCCACCUGGGAAGUACGACCGCAAGGUUGAAA
rnacentral:rRNA from 1 species